rnacentral:miRNA from 1 species
CAGUAUGCUCAAUUAAAUUUGUAUUUCAUAUAAACAAAGAAUAAUUUUUAGUAUAAAUAUAGCCUCAACAAUAUUUGGGACAUACUUAUACUAAAAAUGAUUUAUUGUUUAUAUGAAAUUCAAAUUUAACUGAGCACCCUAUA